CGAAAAUUUAUUUGUUCGUACAAUUCAUUAAAAAUAAUAAAAAUUUUAGUACAAAUAUUAAUUAAAAGAACAACUUUAAGAAGUUUAAUAAUACAUUGAAUUAAAUUAGAAAUUGACGUUUGAUGUCGCAAGCAGCUGUUACACGUUAAAGAUUAAUCGAUUUUAUUGAGUCUUAUCGAUUCCAAGUUGUCAUCACUAAAUUGGUUUUCUCGUUGACAUUCGUUUGAUGACGUUUUUUUUUUCAAUGAACAGUGAUAAUUUUUAGUGCUCGAUUUCACUUUACUAAUUGCGAUUAUUUUUGGUAAUUAAAUUUUUUGUUAUAUAUAAAAAAUGCAAUUACGAUAUCAUAACAACAAUCAAAACAAAGUCUAGGAGGAUGUGUUGAUUUGCUAUUGCCUGCACACUGAGCAUCCAAGACAAGUUUAUAGUGAAGGACCUUGGCAAUAUGCAAAGUUACCCCACAAAAACUAAAGAAAUGUUUAUUGUGCGUGCAUUAGAGAAAAUCCUUGCGGACAAGGAUAUAAGACGUUCGCAAAACUCACAAUUGAAAAAGUCCUGCGAUUCCGCAUUGGAACAAAUAAAGAAUGAAUUAAUAAAUGCUGGACAAAUAGCCGAGGGUAAUGAGUUACCUUGUGCUGCAUUGCCAUUACCUAAAAAUGAUGCUGCUAGCAUUAUUAAUGCAGAAACAUAUUUCCUGCCAUUCGAAUUAGCAUGUAAAAGUAAAUCACCGCGAAUUGUUGUCACUGCAUUGGAUUGUUUACAAAAAUUAAUAGCUUAUGGCCAUUUGACGGGUACCAUACAAGAUUCAGCCAGUCCAGGUCACCUGUUAAUCGAUCGUAUUGUGAAUACGAUUUGUGGUUGUUUCAAUGGACCACAAACCGAUGAAGGUGUGCAAUUGCAAAUAAUUAAAGCUUUGUUAACAGUUGUCACAUCUCAACAUGUGGAGAUACAUGAAGGUACCGUUUUGCAAGCUGUACGAACGUGUUAUGACAUUUACUUGUCUAGCAAAAAUUUGGUUAACCAAACAACGGCACGCGCUACACUUACACAAAUGUUAAAUGUAAUAUUUGCACGUAUGGAGAAUCAAAUCUAUGAGAUGCCUCCAGUAAACCUACAGACAACAGGUGCCAAUCAUGUUAAUCACAAUAGUAGUGGCAGUGAUAGCAAUUCGGUGCAUACACCAAUAGCAGCGUCGAAUACGCAUGAUGCAAUCGAAAAUGAUGACUCGCCUGAAGGUCUUGCAAGUUCUGUGUUAGAAGAGAUAAUAAGCUCUGCAAUAGAAGAAGUACUUAAGGAAGAAGCGGCAUCUCCUAAAGUGAAUGGCGAAGACACUAUAUCCAAUAAUUUAUCUCCAAUUGACGGUGAUCUAAAUCAUGCACCAUCCGAAGAGAGUGUUGAAGCCCAUAGUGAAAGCGAUGCUAUUGUUACUGCAAAAUUUACGCACGUGCUGCAAAAAGAUGCGUUUCUAGUUUUUCGUGCACUUUGUAAACUUUCUAUGAAGCCUCUACCAGAAGGUCAUCCCGAUCCAAAGUCACAUGAGUUACGUUCAAAGGUUUUGUCAUUGCAUUUGCUGCUUUCAAUACUACAAAAUGCUGGUCCAGUAUUUCGUUCCAAUGAGAUGUUUAUCAUGGCAAUCAAACAGUAUUUGUGCGUAGCGCUAUCUAAAAAUGGUGUUAGUUUAGUACCAGAAGUGUUCGAAUUAUCAUUAUCCAUAUUUGUGGCGCUUUUAUCUAAUUUCAAAGUGCACCUCAAGAAGCAAAUUGAAGUGUUCUUUAAGGAAAUCUUUCUUAAUAUUCUGGAAGCAACAUCAAGUUCUUUUGAGCAUAAGUGGAUGGUCAUACAAGCUUUGACGCGCAUUUGUGCAGAUGCACAAUCUGUAGUGGAUAUUUAUGUGAAUUAUGAUUGCGAUUUCUCGGCAGCUAAUUUAUUUGAACGUUUGGUAAAUGAUUUAUCUAAGAUUGCUCAAGGGCGUCAAGCGGUAGAAUUGGGUGCAAAUCCCAUGCAGGAGAAGUCAAUGCGAAAGCGUGGCUUAGAGUGUUUGGUAUCAAUUUUGAAAUGUAUGGUAGAAUGGAGUCAAGAUUUAUAUGUGAAUCCGAACAUGCGUUCUCCACAUGCACAUGAUGGCACUGCGCAAAGAACUAAUCAUCAUCAUGAGCUGAAUGUGUCUCACGACAAUGCCGAUAAUGUAUCGCAAACCAAUACAAUUAUACAUUCUGUACAUGGUGGUUCCAGCCACAGUCUUAAUUCCUACGGUAGUGUUAAAAAUAAUGAAGUACUUGAUUUGCCUGAGGCUUUAGAAGAACGUAAAAUGCGUAAAGAGGUUAUGGAGACUGGGAUUGAGCUUUUUAAUCGCAAACCUAAGAAGGGCGUACAAUUUUUGCAGGAGAAAAAUCUUUUGGGUCUUUCUUGUAAAGAUAUUGCAAAAUGGUUACAUGAAGAUGAACGUCUUGAUAAGACCAUGAUUGGCGAGUACAUUGGUGACAAUGAUGAGCAUUCGAAAGAAGUUAUGUGCGCAUAUAUUGAUGCAUUCGAGUUUCAUGGUAUGGAAGUAGUGGCGGCCUUACGUUUAUUACUUGAAGAAUUUCGUUUACCAGGCGAAGCACAAAAAAUUGAUCGACUUAUGGAAAAAUUUGCGAGUCGUUACUGGGAAUGCAAUCCAAAUAUAAAAAUCUUCCAGAGUGCUGAUACAGUUUACGUGCUUGCUUAUUCGAUCAUAAUGUUAACAACUGAUCUGCAUUCACCGCAAGUCAAAAUCAAAAUGACAAAAGAACAAUACAUUAAAAUUAAUCAAGGCAUAAGCAAGGAUAGUAAAGAUGAUUUGCCCGAAGAAUAUCUCUCUUCUAUAUACGAUGAAAUAGCUGGGCAAGAAAUAAAAAUGAAGAACACGACAGUCAACAAACCUGGUAAACAAUAUAUUGCUAAUGAAAAGAGACGUAAAUUAUUGUGGAACAUGGAAAUGGAAGCUAUAUCGACAACAGCAAAGAAUCUAAUGGAAUCAGUUUCUCAUGUUAAGUCACCAUUCACAUCUGCUAAGCACUUGGAGCAUGUACGUCCAAUGUUUAAAAUGGCAUGGACAUCAUUUUUGGCUGCUUUCUCAGUUGGUCUUCAAGAUUGUGAUGAUCCGGAAAUUGCUUGUUUGUGUUUGGAUGGCAUACGCUGUGCAAUACGUAUAGCUUGCAUAUUCCAUAUGAGUCUGGAGCGUGAUGCUUACGUACAGGCGUUGGCACGAUUUACACUGCUUACUGCUAAUUCACCUAUAAACGAGAUGAAAGCUAAAAAUAUUGAUACUAUCAAAACACUGAUUAUGGUUGCACAUACUGAUGGCAAUUAUUUAGGAUCUAGCUGGUUGGAUAUAGUCAAGUGCAUUAGUCAAUUGGAAUUAGCGCAAUUAAUUGGAACUGGCGUAAGACCACAGUUUUUGUCCGGCGCACAGACAACGUUGAAAGACUCACUGAAUCCUAGUGUCAAAGAACAUAUCGGUGAAACGAGUAGUCAAAGCGUCGUUGUUGCUGUAGACCGCAUUUUUACUGGGUCAAUACGAUUGGAUGGUGAUGCGAUUGUUGAUUUUGUAAAAGCAUUGUGUCAGGUAUCUGUAGACGAAUUGCAAAAUGUUCAACCGCGCAUGUUUUCAUUACAAAAAAUCGUUGAGAUAUCCUAUUAUAAUAUGGAGCGUAUACGUUUGCAAUGGUCACGUAUUUGGCAAGUGCUGGGUGAGCACUUCAACACUGUUGGCUGUAAUACAAACGAAGAGAUUGCAUUUUUUGCACUCGAUUCCUUGCGUCAAUUGUCCAUGAAAUUUAUGGAAAAGGGAGAAUUCGCUAAUUUCCGUUUCCAAAAAGACUUCUUACGUCCUUUUGAGCAUAUAAUGAAAAAGAAUCAAUCACCAGCCAUACGUGAUAUGGUAGUUCGUUGCAUAGCGCAAAUGGUCAAUUCACAGGCACAUAAUAUCAAAUCCGGUUGGAAGAACAUAUUUUCGAUAUUCCAUCUGGCUGCUGGUGAUCAUGAGGAGGCUAUAGUUGAGUUGGCAUUUCAAACAACGGGCAAAAUCAUUGGUGAGCUGUAUCAAAAACAAUUUGCCAUAAUGGUAGACUCGUUCCAAGAUGCUGUGAAAUGUUUAUCAGAAUUUGCUUGUAAUGCAAGAUUUCCAGAUACAAGUAUGGAAGCUAUACGUUUGGUGCGCACAUGCGCAUUAUGUGUACACGAUGCACCGCAUUUGUUUGCCGAACAUGCUGGUAUGGAAAAUGAUAUAUCCGUAGCGGAGGAGGAUCGUGUAUGGGUGCGUGGCUGGUUUCCAAUGUUAUUUUCAUUAUCAUGUGUUGUGAAUCGCUGUAAAUUGGAUGUACGCACACGUGGAUUGACGGUGCUCUUCGAAAUUGUGAAAACACACGGCGAAAGUUUUAAACCAAAUUGGUGGAAAGAUUUGUUUAAUAUUAUUUUCCGCAUUUUCGACAAUAUGAAGUUACCAGAACAUGUAACUGAAAAAUCUGAAUGGAUGACAACAACUUGUAACCAUGCGCUGUAUGCCAUUAUUGAUGUAUUUACGCAGUAUUUUGAUGUUCUUGGACAUUUGUUACUGGAAGAUUUGUUUGCACAACUGCACUGGUGUGUACAGCAAAGCAAUGAACAGUUAGCAAGAUCUGGUACAAAUUGUUUGGAAAAUCUUGUAAUCUCAAAUGGUUUUAAAUUUAAUGAGGCAACUUGGGAUAAAACUUGUCAGUGUAUACUAGAUAUAUUCGAUGCCACUUUACCAACAGAACUGUUAACAUGGCGUCCAACACAACAACAAAUCCAAAUGACUCAACAACAGCAACAAUAUCCACAGAGGAAGACUUUCUCACGACAAAAUUCGUAUGAUAAAAAUUCAAAAGGUGAAAUGAUUAUGAAUCAUAGCCAUUCUCAGCAUUCCGUCUAUAAUACCAGCUUCGAUGAAAAUGUGGGAACACCGAUGACUAUGUAUCAUCAGCAGACGCAGCUUUUUCCACAUAAUGUCCUCUUCGAAAAUCUGCUCAUAAAAUGCGUUGUGCAAUUAGAAUUAAUACAGACAAUGGACAAUAUUGUUUUCUUUCCGGCAACAUCGCGUAAGGAAGAUGCUGAAACUUUAGCUCAAGCGGCUGCUGAUUUAACAGGUACUAGUGCCGCUCAUAGCAUUAUCGAUUGUCAGCGAGAAGAGCAGGGCAUGUAUAGUUAUUUACGAACACGACAACUUUUGCAGCUGGCUGAUUGUUUAAUGCAAUCACAUCGUUUCGCCAAACGUUUCAAUGCAGAUCAAGAUCAACGUAAUCUUUUAUGGCGUGCCGGUUUCAAAGGCUCUGUAAAACCGAAUUUGUUAAAACAAGAGACUGCCUCAUUGGCUUGUGUGCUUAGAAUCUACUUUAAAAUGUAUUGUGAUGAAAACCGACGAAGUGAUUGGCAAAGUAUUGAGCUCGAAUUGGUGCGUGUAUGUAAGGAGGCGCUGUCCUAUUUCCUAAAUUUGAAAAGUGAAGCACAUCGUGAUGCAUGGACGACGCUUUUGUUACUUAUACUGACGCGUAUUCUUAAAUUAGAUGAUACCAGGUUUGCAACACAUGUUUCCAAUUAUUAUACCCAACUUUGUGAAAUUAUGUGGUUCGAUUUAAAACCUGAACUUAGAAGUGUCCUUAGACGAGUCUUUCUGCGAAGUGGUCCAGUAUUUAAUAUUGUUAGCGCCAAAUAAUCUUCGAAAUGCUGACUACUAUUGUUGAUGCCGCUGCCGCGCUGCUUUAAAUAUUCGACGUCGUGAUUAAUUGUUAACUGAUUGAACUAACUUUGGUUCAGCAAAUCCAUCGGUUGUUUUUGGUUUUCGGUUUAGAAAAGAAGCUCGAUAUAUGAGUGCCACUUGAGUUAAUGCAAAAAAUCUUAUGGACCAAAUCUACAUCUGCGAAUCGCUGCUGAAUUACAACAAAAUCGACCCAUUACUGAAGCGGUUGGUGACGUGAUGAAAUAUGUUGACUGGAUCACUUCCAACAACGUCAAGCGAAAACGGUCGUGAUUGAAUCGUGGUAAGCCGACUGAAACGGUUCCCAAGCCACGGCCAGGAUUGACAGCCAUGGAGGUUUUAUGGGAUUGGCAGGGAAUUAUCUACUAUGAGCUGUCCACCUACGAUAAAAUUCUUAAUUAGGAACUGUACUGUCAACAAUAGCACAAAUGGAUCCACUAAAGGAAGCAAUCGCUCACAAACGACCAGCUUUGGGCAAUAGAAGAGGAAUUGUGUUCUAUCAGAACAACGCAAGGCCACACAUAUCAAUAAUGAGUCGCCAAAAGUUCUAGACGCUUAAUUGGGAAGUUUUUAUGCACAUAGUCCAGACCUUGCACCAACUGAUUUUCAUCUGUUCCUGUCCAUUACGAACAUUUUUCUGAUGAAAAAUUCUGUUCAAGAGAAGCUUGUGCAAAUGAGAGUGACAUAAUUAAAUGGUUAUUGCCCUCAAAAUGGUAAGAAAUUAUCGAACAAAACGGCGCAUAUUUGACCUAAAACGGAUCGUUCUAACUAUGCAAAAAACCUUCAAUUCACUGCAAAAAUAAUGGAUUUUGUUUUACUAUACCUAUUAUAUAUAAAAAAUAC